UUCAAUUCCAGCAGGAUCAAGACUUUAGACAGUUUGCAGUUCAUCACUUACAGUGAACUGUGCCAUCAAUGGGCUUAGUGAAGAGGGAGCAUUUAAAUAGAGGCAGGCGUUUUGGCAGGGGAAGACAAGAUACAGCUUGACAACUCCUAAAGGAAGACGACGAAAUGGACUGAAGGACAAUUAAACAAAUACAGUCCAAGGUCACCAUGCCAGCAGGAAAACAUCAACGGAGCAACUUCAUUCUGUUGAUAAUGGCUUUGUCAAUCAUGUUGGAGUUCUGCUGGAUCCAUGGCUGUCGGACUGGCUCUGGGUGUGAAAAAGCUCCUUUUUUUACAGGCCACAACCUGGCAGGAGAGGGCUUCGACGUGGUGCGGAUGCGCUGAAUGGGCGUGUAUGUCAUCAAGGUCAAAGCUCACCUGGCUGACAACCGCACCUGCACACUGUGUCCCAACCGGUUCCAAAACGGACAGGUAGAGUCAUAAUACCAGACUGCUCAGGCCUCUCAGGCCAGUCAUUCUUAAUCCUCCUCAGAUUCAGAGGCUUCCAGCGGCGGUGCUCGACUGGCAUCCCUUCAGCCGCUGCAGUAAGCAGCUUUUUAGUGCCCUGCACCACUCGGUGGACUCCCUGCUGCGCAGCUCCAACUCCCUGGUUAACAACAACUGGUACCUGGGUUUGAGCUUGACAAGUUGGCAAGGCAGUGCUAGGAGGAAGCAGAUCAGACCUGGCAAGGUGGGUCGUUCACAAGACAGCGGGGCCAAGGCCACUUCUGCCAUCCAUGAAAUCAGUUGCACCUACUACCGGUAAAAGGGAACUAGAGCUACAGGCUGGCUGAUCAUCCCCAGCUGACUACAGAAUUUAGAAAGCAUCUGAACCGACUCCCACCAAGAUUAAACACAAGCCAGGACAUAGCCAAGUACAGACGUCUGAUAGACACCUAUGGAACACACUAUAUACACCAGGUUCGUAACUUCAUCUACACUGGUAAAGCUUAUCCAGACUUCACUCUGGACACACGCUUUGCCUAGCAAGCCAAAGAGAUUGCUGAUGAAAUUGAAAACAACCAAACGAGGAACGCAGAGUAUCUACAGCCCCUCUCUCCUGAACACCAAGGCCAAAAGUUUCUCACCGAACUUCGUCCCACAAAAUGUCCUCUCGGAUGGCCAAGUUAUCUGUGUGAGUGACGACUAUGAAGCCGGAUCCAGAUUUGCAGAACCCUUCAGAGGCCUCUUCAGCUGUCAGUCAACCAACCCACUGGCAGGAGGCCAACGUCGCUGCCCUCCCAAGUUCAGUCAGCACCUGGCCACAGUGAGUGAUGGCUGUGAAAUUAUUUACUGUGUCCAGUUAGGACUGUUCACAUGCGGGCAACUGCUCCCAAUCCACCUUCCUCCUUUUACUAAACCUCCGCUCGUCACCGUGCAAGCCAUCGAGACAGUUAUGGUGAUGACCGACAGAGACAAGAGCUGGUUCAGACCAAAAUGUGGAAACUGGCCGAACCAGAGGAAAUUAAGGAUAUUGUGCAUCAAAUGGACCCAGAAUUGAGUCAGAGGAUAGCGGGAGAAAAGGCCGGGAUAGCCUUUGGGGUGAUGGGUUUGAUGGUGCUGGUGGUCAUAGGGGCAGUACUCGUGAAAAGGAGAAGGAGAGGGCUCCCUCGGUUGGGGAUGGGGACGGGCUAUGAGGAAAUACGUGGAGAGGUGUUCUUCCAAUGAGUGAGAUUUAGUUUUGAAGUAGAUUGUCACCUCAGAAAUCUUUGAAUCUUUAAAAAUAUGUUUUUCUGGAAUGGGAGAUUUUGUUGCAGUUCUUCAAGAAUUCCUGGUUUGAUUCAAUUAGGCUAUUUAAUAACAAAACAAAUCUUGAAUUUUGCACUUUCUAACAUUUAAUUACAUCCAAGAUACUUGAUUUCAGCUAAAUCCAUUUCUAAAAUCACAAUAUAAUUAACUGGAGGCAGACAUGAUUUCCAAAGGCUGUGGUGAACAGAUACUGCCCCCAUGAGGGCCAGAUGCACAAUGUUAUUUCAUUUUUUACCCCACAUUUAAGAACCUCAGCACUGAAAAGUACAGUAAAAAAGAAAUGCAUUUACAAAUGUUUUCACAGAUAACUAGUGGACCCUUUGUAAUGUGUGUAUGAAUCAUUUUGGUACUGUACUUGCAAUUAAAAAACUAUACGUGUAUAAAUUGUGGCUGUUCUGCAAUACACAACUAUGAAUUAACUAUCAAAGUUAUUUAAAAUAACAUGGCUCUAUGUCUUUAUGUUUGCUAUCUCUCUGGUCAAGGACCAUGUCUAAAAUGUUCAAAUAAUAUCUUGGUAGUUGGUCAAGGACAUAAUUAAUGGUUAACAUGUCUGCAUGCUUUGUAUAUGUUUUUAAUAGAUCUUGUAAACGUUAGUUCAAAAAGCAGAAACAAUUCAAUGGACCUCU